rnacentral:rRNA from 1 species
GGAUGCGAUCAUACCAGCACUAAAGCAGCGGAUCCCAUCAGAACUCCGAAGUUAAGCGUGCUUGGGCGAGAGUAGUACUAGGAUGGGUGACCUCCAUUGCCACCAUUGCCACUAUUGCCAUCU